rnacentral:lncRNA from 1 species
UUUGAAGCAAUCUGACUGAGCGUGUUCAAUAAGUUGAUUGAUCCCAUUUGAGGAAGUAUCUCCAUUGAGGUAAUUUUGGGGAUUAGUACUAGAACCAUAUCACUAAAGUUUGGUCAAAUAACUCCAUUAAAAGAAUCACCUAUUACUAUGCGUACAUCAUUUUUUAGAAAUAACUAGUGAAAUUGGUAAACAUAAGUAAGAGGUUGUCUAGCCCCUGCGCUCUUGCCAGUCAAAUUUAGAAUAGUGCAUUCUCAAUUUCUUCAUCCAUCACGUCCGUGUUCACCCUCUCCUCCAUAUCACUAGUCACACAGGGUCGGAUGUGAGCUAAGAUGUUGUCAGCAUCAACAGAGGCUUCUGAAGAAAACAACUAAGCAUAGAAAUCGGCCGAAAUCUUCCCCAUCUCAUUGUCAAUAGUACAACUCAUGCCAUCCGCCCUCAUGUUUUGAUCGUCUUCCUUGAGAAAUUCCAGUUGGGAACAUUGCAUACACAUUAUUUGUUCUUGUGCACGAACCACAUGAAGCUACGCUUCAAUCUCGCUGGUCUUCAGCAAGGAUGUCUGGAUCCCAAUGCGCUACCCUUUCCAUCGAAGCUGGACCUUGUGCCUAGUAAUCUGACAACAUACAAGACAAAAUAUAGAGCCACUUCAAUGUUUCAUAUCAUUGGUGACAUUGUUACGCUUCCUGUAGAGCUCACUCUGGCCGAAAUUGUUAUCACAUGCACACUAUCAUGCCUACAUGGGCAUCCACCUCUCCUCAAACGUUAAUGCCCUCUUCUUACUUUUGGUAAUGACUAGGUUUUCUAGCGAUCUAUUAACGAGCAAACCAUGGUCUGGUCCUCCAUGACAACAUGUUCAAUGGGUGUAUCCUACAAUGAAUGCACGAAUUCAUCAUUGCAUGGACCCCUGUCCACAUGUACAUAAACGAUCUCAUCCCGCACCCUCUUAUUGUCCCAAGUGUACAUGUUGCUACUAAAACAAAGUUUUGAAACACUAUUAUUGGCUACACUCUCCCUAAUGCGCUCCAUUUGUGUGAAACUCCUCAAGUAAUCUCCUAGUUGUUGUGAUUAAAAGAAUUCUUUGUUGAGGUAUCAUUGUAACAGAUAAAUGUAUUAUUAGGAUCCAAUCUCUCGGAGCCUCCCUUAGCUACACAAAUUUUCAUCAAUCUCUCUUCCUAUCCAGUAGCUUUAGGUGAUAAUCAUUGUGACGCCUUUGGUGGUCACCAUCACGUUGCCUUGUCUUAUGAACAAAAGUGCCUCGUCUGCGUUGCUCUGAGGUAGAUGGGUCAUCUUUCCCAAUGGCCUUGCACCCUUUCCCAUAUAGAUUUUUUUAUGUCUUGCUUACUUUCAUGCUCCUUCCUCAGGUCCCACUUACUUUUUAGAUUUAAAUCAUCCCUUAGUUCACAAUCAUGUCACAUUUCUUGCCUGAAUUGGUCCUCCCUACACUUCAUCUUAGGCAGUUACCCUGUACAAGACCAUCUCGAGGAUCCUCGCUAGAGAGAGAGUCCACAGAGGGUGUAUAAUCAGUGUAUGACCUGCACUUAAAUGGACGGGCAUGCAACGCUACAUGACCCCUACGCCCAUAGACGCCCUUGCUUGACCUAGUGCUCCCAAAACUAAAGUUCGUGCUUUCUUUCACCGGCCUCUACUUAGUUUUUGUCUAUGAGGAGCCAUGUCCAAGUGAUGCCCUCAACCAUUCACCCAACUAGGGUGAGGAAUCAUUUUGUGGUUCAAAUCAUCUGUCAACAUGUGCUAGUCUGUCGUAGUCAAUCCAAAAGAGAGGUAUCUUCUCAAAUUGAAAAUCAAACAAGGUCCCCUCAUCUUUUGCUGAAGAGUGGAUAAAGAAGCCUUAGACUAGUGAAAGAAAUCUAUCUCUAAAUCUGAGAUGGUUCCCCCAUAAAUCCAUCGUUCUUAACAUCACUCUUUACCACGCCACCAAGACAAUUCCCAAGAGCAUUCCCAAAAGUAUAUGAUCAUUUAUAUAGGGGAGGAUCUGUAAUUAUCACCCAUGGCUCCGUCAUACAAAACAUUAUCUUCGAUGACCUGGUUUUUUCAUCAUAAUCCUUCAAAACUAUCACAUUAAAACCAAAUUGCCACAUUCAAUUAUAUAGAGCGUGCUUCUAGACUCCUUUGUUAUGGAAUCUAAAGAAGAAGAUACUAUUUCUAAUGUGACUUACUUGGACUUCCUAAUAGUGUCACAUGUAUGUUGCGUAGCCCUAGCAAACACGUUGAUGUUGAUUUGCUGGAGUGAGCAUGCCUUUCCAACCACUGACCACCGAGUAGGCCUCGGUCGGUCUGGAAUCCUGAUUCUCAAGCAUGAGAUCUAUUAGUUCCUUUUGUUGUUAACUUCUGGGCUCCUUGUUAAUUUGGUUGAGAGAUUAGCUGCCUCCCCUGAAGCAUUUCCAUCUGUCAGGGACUUUGAAGGUUCUCAUCUUAAUGAUCCUUGGUCGCCCUGUUCACUUGAGCUGUCGAUUUACGCCACGCCUUCUCUCCCAUAGUCGCGCAAAGGAGUGGAAGCACCAAGACCAAUCAAUGUAGGAGUAUAGAGUGUCAUCACCUCAUAGAUGAAUAGAAACCUAACCCUAGCACUACUUGUCGGUCGCCUAUAAUCGCCCUUAGCAUUUCUUUUCAUGUUGGGCCCGCCAUAAGGUAUUUAUAUGUUCGCUUCCAUUGGUACUUUUUUUUGCACUGGAGCCUUUCUGCUACAUUUGCCUUUCUACGAAGGAUGUCUUAUCCAAAUCAUAUAGUCUCCUCUAUCUAUAGGAAGCGAGGACAUUAGCUCUUCUUUUUUUCAAGGCAAAUACACUUGCUAGUGUUCAAGCGACAUCGAAAGAAGUCUUGUCACAUGUGAAGACGACGCUAAGAGUGUGACACAUAUAGGUGCCAACUUGAAGAAUAAUGCAAAUUUCAGUAAAUAUGAAUAGCUCCUGGGGGAACGAGCGCAUAAAGGAAUCAGCCACCAUAAAUGGAUCAUUUCCAAAGAAACAAAGUCACAAAGAGAGAGACAAGACAUUAGCUUCUUUAUGGGGAACACAUAUAUUUAAAUGUUGCCUUGCUCUCUGAUUAUUAACAAGAAAUAAUUUUUACUAAUAUAUUAUGUGUAAAUCUUGAUAGAUAUGGAAUGUAUUUUGGUCAGUAUGUUUUAAGGAAUCAUAUUAGUUUUUGGUAUGUAGAAAUUAAAAGAAGUUCAUGUGCCUUCAAGGCAUGUCAAGGUGUGUUGUUCCACCUCAAAAUUGGUUCAUACUAAAUGGUUAUUCUCCCUACAUAUAGCCCCAAUUCUCAUGCUCUCUCUCUCUCUCUCUCUAUUUUAUAUUCCAGACUACUCCAUAAAGCCUAACUGGUGAAGGUCCAGAAACACCCAGCAGUGACGGGUUGAACUCCCAUUAGUAGUCUAUACUUAGUGGAGGAGAAACAAGCCACUUACAGGCACGAGCCCGCCAAUGGUGAAUAAAUCAGAAAAGAAAAUCAGGCCAUGGCCAGUCCAAAUCCAGCACCUGCCAACAAUGUGUAGUCUCCACUACUCGAACCUACUUUUCCUCAGUGCGUGACAUCAUGUGAUGUUUGGAGAAUCCAUAGAGUUGGGGAUCCGAAUAUAAAAAACAACAAUGGGGAGUGGCUUGAAGAAUAGGAGCCAAGAAGCUGGACGGAGAAGGCCUCCACCAUACUGCACCAUUGGCCGAUACUGAUCCGUAUGGUGCAAGGACCAAGGCAGAACUGAACACCGUCAUCAUCUAGGUUGCAAAGGAAGUUGGACCACUGUGUUGCUUCUCUCGGACAAACUCAAUGAUUUCAUGCAGUUGGCACCCAUGCCACAUUCCAUAGAGAUAACAACAUUGAGGAGGAGGAGGGACAACGCAAGGUUUCUUCCUCAUAGGAAUUAGUUUCGAGGAAGUGGGGGGACGAUAUGGCAUGAUGAGCAGUUAACAAGGGAAGUUUGCAUGACUGUGGAGGACAAAGCAUUAAGACAAGUGUGCUAGUAGCUAGAUAAGGGAUGAAUGAUAGCAGGAAGGAAUAAUGAGCUUACUGGGUGAGGCUACUAUUUUUUAAGUUGCGACCUACUGAUCAUAACAACAAUUGAUCGUAACAACGUACCAUUGAUGAUUUAGGGUAUUGAUUUAGUAACUGUUAGGAUGUGACUACGGCUUGUAAGUGGUGGGUUGUAUAUUACUAACAAGUAGCAUGUUUAGCCUCAAUAUUGUCCUCUGUCACUCGUAACAACGUGCCAUUGACGGACCACAUAUUGGGCCCGUCACUACUACCUUUUUCAAACAAAAAUAGAAUUUUAGUUAUAGUCAGAUUCACAACAAUCCCGCCGGCCAUUAGUGUUAAGUAGCAUUGCUGACCGGUUUUUUGAACCACCACUUUUGAUCGAUAACUAGGCGAGAACUCUAGUGUAGUGCACAUUUGUUUGGUUGAGAUUUUUUAGUGUUUUUAUGUGCACAAAGACAUAUCGUUCAACCCUAACAUGUUCUCUUUAGGUGGGGUCGAGAGUGAAGGACUGGGGAGCUUGGAAGUAGGGGAAAUGGCACCUCGAGGGGUUCAGGUCUCCAUGAUCAAUAACCACAAUUUUGAUCUGAAUGAGCUGCCGACUGAGCAUGAGUAGCUCAAGAAGGAGUAGUCACCCAUGGAGCAAGAGUAGCCGCCUAUGGCACAACAUGAGCUUUAAUAUUCACAAUGGUUGGAGGCUACUCAAAUCCCGCUUGUGUGAGAAAAAAUAACUCUUGGCCCAAAGUAUAGCCCUGUCAGAAAUUAUCGAAACAAUAUCCUUAUCCCAAGGACGAUUGUAAAGCUUAUGUGGAACUUUUCAAUUUCUUGCUUCCUAUUUUUUGGUGAUUGACUGACGCUAUUGCUAAACUUGAGGGAAGGACUUGGUAUACUGCCUCAUGAUCAAUGUGUCACCUGGAAUGGCUUUUCUAUUCAUUUCCCAUGAUGGUUUUGAUAUGUAGAUUGUUUGGACAAGCAUUUAUUCAUUCGGUAAAGCUUUGUGAAACAUCAACGGUGUGAAAUGAUAGUAGGUCAAGAAGUGUGUUGGAUCAUGAGAUAACAUAUUUUCUAAGUUGUUAAUCAUGUGUGUUAACACCAUGGGUAGUAUGAGAGAAGGUCAACAUGCAUGUUUGGGUCUGAAAUGACCUCAUGACCCAAAAGGGAGAGAAACAUGCCUAAUAGGAAUAUGAACAAUAUGGAAGUUACUUGUUGCAUGGAUGUUAACUGUGGUUAUGAAACCACACAAGAUGUCAGAGGACCCGCAUCCUUACAUAUCAAGGUUGACUUCACAUGCCAACUGGAUUUCGACUAAAUUAUUGUAUAUGCAUGUAUGUUAUAUCUUGACAUCUUACCAAACAAAAAACACCAAAAAAUACACUAUUUACUUCUCUUUGAUGCAUAUUCUAGUUGGAGAGUAAUCAUAACCUUAUGUGGAUAUUUUUCCAUAAUAGAAUAUAUAAUGGUCUAGUGAGGCAAGGUGUAAAUGGAGAGGACAAUAGUCGAACAUGAAAACAUCCAACAUUGUGUUAUAGUUGCAUCAAGUUGUCUAGUGAGUCAAUAUGGAAAUGGAGGAGGCUCAUAGGGCAACACGAGAACACCCAACAUGUUGCUCUACUUACUUCCUAUUGGUACGAAGAGACCGAGAGUAGUGAAAGGUUAAUCAUAACACAUGGACAAGAUAUCUCAUACAAGAUGAAAAUGGAGUGAGUCUUGUAUGAAAAUGCUAACAAAGUAUGAGUGUGCAUAGCAUGCCAUCCCCUCCCUUUCUUGUUCGAGUUUCCUUCACCAACCCCAUAGUACCCUGAUCAACACUAUUAUUUGGAUAUGCUUCUCAUCUGAGAAAGAAUAGUUAUUGAGAGACAUUUAUAUCAUUGUCUAGAUAGACUUGUUCAAGGGCCAAUAAUGGAGGUGUCUUAUCUAUUAUAGCCACAUUCCGGAGAAGAAUAAAAAAAGUAGACACAACCUGAUAAUUUAUUGAGAUUUGAAUUGAGGAUCCACAUACAUCAACUAUCCCACAUGUGAAUCAAAUCCACAUCCUACAUGGGCAUUGGGCUUUAGUUGGACUACCACUUUAUGGACAAGCCAUGUGCUCCAUGUAGUCUAUGUUGCAAAGGCGGGAGGACAAGGAGCAAAUAGUUUUUGAUGGCUGGACAUUGAAGUUAUUUGUCAAGAAAUUUGUUUCCUGACAUGGUUUGUUUAUUUCAUUAUUUAGUAUUUGAUAUCGGUUCAAUGCUCUAGUAUGUAACAUUCUUCUCACAUUUUGGGUCUAGCUCUUGGUGUUCAUGAGUUCAUUACUUAUGUUAACUAUUAUUGUUGUGGCCACUUGUUCGACAAGAGACUAUAAAGUUAACUAAGAUACUCUCAUAUUUAUAUUAAUAUAGUUGGCACUGAGGUAAUAAUAAACCUUGAAUACUACUCAUAUUUGUCAAAUAGGAGGUCAAGCUGGAUCUGUCUGGCGCAUCAUCUAUGGUCACAUGGUGUAUUGUCUAUUCUAACCCCAAUGAGUAUUGCAGAAUGACAUGUUCCUGCGAGGAGGAAUGAGUCACUCUUUUGUGUCAAGGGGUGAUGCCAUGCCUCAUAAUUGACAAUAAAAAAUUAACCACCUACAUCAAAAGUCUAACCCAAGACAGGGAAUAGGCGCCAUUGCAAUUUUACCGCACAAAGUCAUCGGUAUUUUGCAAUUGAAUGUUCCCCAUGUUGUGACUGAGAACACAAAACACAAAACACCCCACAAAACACUAUUCACUUCUCUUCGAUGCAUAUUCUAGUGGAAGGGUAGUCAUAACCAUAUGGGAAUAUUUUACCACAAUAGAAUCUAUAAUGGUCUAGUGAGGCAAGGUUUAAAUGGAGAGGAUAAUAGGCGAACAUGGAAACAACCAACAUUGUGUUUUACUUGCAUCUAGUUGUAUAGUGAGAUAAUAUUGAAACGGAGGAGGCUUAUAGGGCAACAUGAGAACACCCAAUAUGUUGCUCUACUUACUUCCUAUUGUUACCAAGGGACUGAGGCUCGAGCAUGGUUAAUCAUAACACAUGGAGAAGAUCUCUCAUACUAGUUGAUAAUAGAAUGAAUCUUGUAUGAAAAUGCUAACAAAGUAUGAGUGUGCAUAACAUGCCAUCUCCUCCCUUUCUUGUCGUAUUUUCCUUCACCAACCCCCAUAGUACCCUGAUCAGCACUAUUAAUUUGAUAUGCUUCACAUCUGAGUUAGAAUUGUGAUUGGGAAUAGUUGUAUCAUUAUCUAAGUAGACUUCUUCAAGGGGAAAUAAUGGACGUGUCUUAUCUAUUAUAGCCACAUUCCGGAUAGGAAUAAAAAAGUAGACAUAACAAGAUAAUUUGUUGAGAUUUGAAUCGAAAAUACAACAUACAUCAACUAUUCUACAUGUAAAUCAAAUCCUCAUCCUACAUCGGCAUUCGGCUUUAGUUCGACUACCACUUUAUGGACAAGCCGUGUGGUCCAUGUGGUCUACGUCACAAAGGCCAGACGACAAGGAGAAAAUAGUUGUCGAUGAUUGAUCAUUGAAGUUAUUUGUCAAGAAAUUUUUCCCCGACAUGGUUCAUUUAAUUCAUUAUUUAGUAUUUGAUAUCGGUUCUAUGCUCUAAUGUGUAACCUUCUUCUCACGAUUUGGGUCUAGCUAUCAGUGGUCAUGAGUUCAUUACUUAUGUUAACUACUAUUGUUGUGUCCACUUGUUCGCCAAGAGACUAUAAAGUUAACUUAUAUCCUCCCGUAUUUAUAUUAAUAUAGUUUGUGGUUAGGUAAUCCUUGACCUUGAAUAUUACUCACAUUUGUCAAAUAGGAGGCCAAGCUGGAACUGUCUAGUGCAUCAUCUGUGGUCACAUAUGGUGUAUUGCCUAUUCUAAACCCAAUGAGUAUUACAUUAUGGCAUGUGCCUGCGAGGAGGAACUGAGUUACUCUUUUAUGUCUAGGGGAGACGGCAUGCCUAAUAAUUCUCAAUGAAAAAUUAUAGCCUACAUCAAAAGUCUAACCCAAGAAAGUGAAUAUGUGCCAUUGUAGUUUUACAACACUAAGGGUGUGUUCUGAUCUUGUCGUGCUCCACGCUUCCCAAAUUCCUGGAGCAGAUACGAGCCGAACGAAAUAGCAGCGAGAAGCUAACUCCAGGAAGCUAGGAUUGACCGCAGCGCAAAAUCAUGAAGCAGACUCGGCCCAGCUCCACCAAUCCGAAAAGCUGAAGUUGGCCGAUAUUACAAGUAAACUGCCACAGCCAAGUCAUACGAGUCGAACCGGUACGCUCGAUCUGUUUGAUCGCUCCUCGUUCCCUCGCUCGUGCUCCCUCGCUGCUCCUCUACAAGGCCGAUUUGGGUUGCCUCCAGUCAGCCCAACUAGCUCGAACAGGCCACAACCCUUCUAGCUAGGUUGCAGUGCCGCGAGAAGCUGCAAACCGAGCCAAACGGAUUUUUCAUCGCUGCUUGGAGUGAGAAGCUACUCUGAAUAGGUGAAUUUCUGAAGUUUUGGGAAGCUAGAGGAGAUCAGAAAAGGCCCUAAGUCAUCGGUAUUUCAUAAUUGAAUGUUCUCCAUGUCGUGACUUCUGAUGGUGUAAACCCAAAUAAUUGCCAUUGUGAAAUUAAGUUCCUUUCGUGAGUCAGAACCCACAUCCGUAAAGAUGUGCCACUACAAUCCACCUCAUGGCUAUCUUGGAGUCCUUAAUAUAAUCAAGUGUGCCCAAUAUGGUGACUUAAUAUGUACUUAUUGACCCUACGAAGCUAAUCGCCUCCAUCAAGACCCCUUCCUGGUUCUCCUAUAACUAGAUUCCUCGAAACCACGAGAAUCCUUACAAUGGGAUAACAACUUAGCACCUUUCGUUUUCACAUAGUAAGAAGAGUUGCUCCUUGGAUAGCACGGUACGAUCAAAGGUGUAACCUGUGUUUUGGAGCGAGUUAUUGUCUCGAAACUUUGUUCUCAACUAUUCCGAAUCCAGCAAACGGAGGCCAUUGGGUCAAAGCUGUAGCGCACGCCCUGUAGUUUUCAAGUGGGGCGAGACAACUUAGCUAGGAACCUAUUUUCAUUCUGACCAGCUCCCUGAAAACAAUGUUCGACUUCAUGUGUAGUCGGUGUAGAUGUGUCAUUGCAAUUCCACCACUAGGAUAUCACCAAGUCCUAUGUAUUACAUGUCAACAUAUGCCACCAUAUGGUUACUUGACAAAUUAAAUGGAUUUCACCAAGAUUUCAUGUUACAAUUAUAGUGAAGAUAGUGACUCACAUGUCAGCCUCCCUGACGGGAAGCAAAAUCACUCUGACUUUGGCAACCUAAUUCUUGGCGGGUUCAAGCAAACAUGUUGGAUUUGUAUUUUAUUUAUUUCAACAUAUAUAAUUCAUAUAAAUAAAUCAAUUCAUAAUAGGAGUCUUGGAGACACCCAUGUCAAUAAUGUGAAAUUAUGGGAAAUCUUAUUAUGUGCAUCAACAUAAGCCAAAACUCGUGGCUUAAGAGAUAUGUUUACAAUCUUCCAAUGGUUAUUCCCCCUACUAAAUUCAUGAUGUUAACUAGUUCCCAUAAGUUGAGAAAGAAGUUUAGUCAUGGGAUCAAUGUCCAGUGCAUCAUAUUUCCAGUUCCCAAAAAAAAUUAUUAUGGAAGUUGAGAAAGAAGUUUGGGCAACAUAUUUCCAGACACCUGUCAUGUCUAGGAUCUUCUCAAGCCUAGGUAAGCUUAGUCACGGGAUCAAUGCAGGCUAUUAGUACAUUGACCCGGUUCUUAAUUCAAGUCCUCCUUGCUAGAUACAAUAUUGAAUGGAAAGUACAUAAUCAAUUUAUUUAAGUGGGUGAACAAUGUUGGCUAGUAUAUUUCAACACUCACCUCACAUGCAUCUUUUAGAGGCAUAUAAUGCAUCGUGAUGGAAACAUUUUUUCUAUAGACUAAAUUCCAAUGGAAAAUUUUAAUUAAUUUAAUUAGUAGCAAUCUCGUAUGGUAAGGAUAUAUGGCAAAUGAAAAUGAGGGCUUAAAUGCUACUUGUUGGCACACAAAAGUCAUGUUGUCUUUUUCCUCCCAUGUUGAUCCUUUGUGGUUUGACAUUAGGCAUUCCAAAGAGAACAAGUUAUCUUUACACACCUCUAGAGCUACUAGACCCUGGAUGUUCCACCAUGAAUGUCCAUAUGGUGCAAUGAGUGAUAGCGAGCUAUAUUAGAACAUAUAGUUUACACCGUUAAAGUAAUUAAAUGGGCUAUUUUGGCUACUAUGAAAAAUAGUAUUUUAAGAGAAAACUAUGUAAGAGUUUGUGAUCUUUGUAUGUAAAAGCAUUAUUUGCCUUUGCUUGGUGUUCACGCAGUUUGAUUUAUGGCAAAAAUGUAAAAUCAUGGGACAAUAAUUGUUGAUAUUCUUUGCGGAGAAAGCGAGAUCUUUCCACUUUUCAGAUCACACAAAGUAUUGUUUUUCUUAUAGGGGUGAUAUACAGUGUUCUAAAUCUGCACUUGUGAUUCGUUGUCCAUUUAAAUUUAAAUGGUUUCUUCCACAGAUUAUGUUGGUUUGUUGUUGUAUUUAUCUCAGCACUAAAGUAUACUGAUGUUAGCUAAGUCCAAUCAAAGGCCCAUGUUUUUAUCAUGUUAUGCAAAUUAGUAAGCUAAGAUCUUACCAAACUCAAGUUACAUAAGCCCAGACUACGUGAAAUACACAUCAUGCAGUACACAUGUUCAUCUUAGUGUUAUGUUAUACUUGGCUUCGAGAUAACAAAUGGUAUCAAUUAUUACUAUCUUUUGCAGCUUGUUUCUGCCUGGUCAUCGUAGAAUUAUCUUAUGUGGUCUCCCAAGGUUCAUGCAACUUGGAUUUUCAUACUUUGGUAGUAUUAGUGUUCACUAGGACUAGGUGCCACUCUGUAGAAGCUAAGGAUACAGAUGGAGAAAGUAGUCAUGGUUUUUUUUUUCAAAAAGUUUGUUCAUAUCUAUAAGAGGUUUAUGAUUUUUCAGUGUAUACUGUUGUGAAACCUAGAGUGUUUUAUCUCAUUUAACAUUGAACUACGCUUUCAAGGAAAAACCUUCAUUUGACAUCGAACUAUGCAUGCAGGGCAAACACCCCGUGCUUCGUUGCCACCGCGCCGCGAACCCUGGGAGCUUGAACCUGGAUGGGUGUGAACUUAAGAUUGAUGUCAAUGUUAGGGGUCAGUCAUUGAUAGAGAAUAAAGGGGACUUUGCGAAACUGUUAUUAAUAAUAUGGAUGAAACAUUGCCUUGUGGAGAGAAUAAGAUAUUUCAAGAGAUAUUUAUAAAUGGAUGCAUACUUGCAAUAGCAGUACAAAAUAUGAUGCUAACAUUUUAUUUUCAUUGUUGUUCCCAUUAAACUUCUGGUGGUGGCUCCAUUAUUCACAGCCUCGCACAUGAAAAUGUUAUUUCGUUCGGGUAAAUGUUGCGUGUCGUUGCUCC